rnacentral:rRNA from 1 species
AUUGAACGCUGGCGGCAUGCCUUACACAUGCAAGUCGAACGGUAACAGGUCUUCGGAUGCUGACGAGUGGCGAACGGGUGGGUAAUACAUCGGAACGUGCCUAGUAGUGGGGGAUAACUACUCGAAAGAGUGGCUAAUACCGCAUGAGAUCUACGGAUGAAAGCAGGGGAUCGCAAGACCUUGUGCUACUGGAGCGGCCGAUGGCAGAUUAGGUAGUUGGUGGGAUAAAAGCUUACCAAGCCGACGAUCUGUAGCUGGUCUGAGAGGACGAUCAGCCACACUGGGACUGAGACACGGCCCAGACUCCGACGGGAGGCAGCAGUGGGGAAUUUUGGACAAUGGGCGAAAGCCUGAUCCAGCAAUGCCGCGUGCAGGAUGAAGGCCUUCGGGUUGUAAACUGCUUUUGUACGGAACGAAAAGCCCCGGGUUAAUACCCUGGGGUCAUGACGGUACCGUAAGAAUAAGCACCGGCUAACUACGUGCCAGCCGCCGCGGUAA